UCGAGCGGUAAGGCCCUUCGGGGUACACGAGCGGSGAACGGGUGAGUAACACGUGGGUGAUCUGCCUUGCACUUCGGGAUAAGCCUGGGAAACCGGGUCUAAUACCGGAUAUGACCUGAGGUUGCAUGACUUSWGGUGGAAAGAUUUAUCGGUGCGAGAUGGGCCCGCGGCCUAUCAGCUUGUUGGUGAGGUAACGGCUCACCAAGGCGACGACGGGUAGCCGACCUGAGAGGGUGACCGGCCACACUGGGACUGARACACGGCCCAGACUCCUACGGGAGGCAGCAGUGGGGAAUAUUGCACAAUGGGCGAAAGCCUGAUGCAGCGACGCCGCGUGCGGGAUGACGGCCUUCGGGUUGUAAACCGCUUUUGACAGGGACGAAGCGCAAGUGACUGUACCUGUAGAAUAAGGACCGGCCAACUACGUGCCAGCAGCCGCGGUAAUACGUAGGGUCCGAGCGUUGUCCGGAAUUACUGGGCGUAAAGAGCUUGUAGGCGGUUCGUCGCGUCGUUUGUGAAAACUUGGGGCUCAACCUUAAGCUUGCAGGCGAUACGGGCGGACUAGAGUACUUCAGGGGAGACUGGAAUUCCUGGUGUAGCGGUGAAAUGCGCAGAUAUCAGGAGGAACACCGGUGGCGAAGGCGGGUCUCUGGGAAGUAACUGACGCUGAGAAGCGAAAGCAUGGGUAGCAAACAGGAUUAGAUACCCUGGUAGUCCAUGCCGUAAACGGKGGGUACUAGGUGUGGGGCUCCUUCCACGGACUCCGUGCCGUAVCUAACGCAUUAAGUACCCCGCCUGGGGARUACGGCC
rnacentral:rRNA from 1 species